AUUGAACGCUGGCGGCAGGCCUAACACAUGCAAGUCGAGCGGAUGAAGGGAGCUUGCUCCUGGAUUCAGCGGCGGACGGGUGAGUAAUGCCUAGGAAUCUGCCUGGUAGUGGGGGAUAACGUCCGGAAACGGGCGCUAAUACCGCAUACGUCCUGAGGGAGAAAGUGGAGGAUCUUCGGACCUCACGCUAUCAGAUGAGCCUAGGUCGGAUUAGCUAGUUGGUGGGGUAAAGGCCUACCAAGGCGACGAUCCGUAACUGGUCUGAGAGGAUGAUCAGUCACACUGGAACUGAGACACGGUCCAGACUCCUACGGGAGGCAGCAGUGGGGAAUAUUGGACAAUGGGCGAAAGCCUGAUCCAGCCAUGCCGCGUGUGUGAAGAAGGUCUUCGGAUUGUAAAGCACUUUAAGUUGGGAGGAAGGGCAGUAAGUUAAUACCUUGCUGUUUUGACGUUACCAACAGAAUAAGCACCGGCUAACCUCGUG
rnacentral:rRNA from 1 species